UGUACCAGUUAGUUCUCGAAUCCCAUCACUUUAAAAGAAUUCUAAUCAGUUCUGCCAGUAAUCAGCUCUCUUAUGGUCUACUCUUAGGUGAAGCUGAAGCUAACAAAGACCGCCAACAGCCAGGAACCUAAAAAUUCAGUGAAACUCUGCUUCAGCUUGCUGCAGAAAGAAGAAAUCCUCCUUUAUCCCCAGCAGGUUAUUGUCAUCCGUUGCUAGCAUUUGGAUUCUCAAGACGAGUAUGUCAUGAGAAAUCACCAUGUGAAGACAACCAGUUUUCUCACCUUACUCAUUUCCUCUCAUCACUUCUUGCCUGCUGAUGGUGAGUGAUGUCAGAAAACAUGCAGGGCAAAGGAAUAUGAAGAAAGAGGUCAACAAGAUGACUACUGAGCAGAUUAAAGUCCUGGCUGAUAAGUUGAGGAUGAUCCCUGGCUUCACAAGAGGCUGCAAUCAAUGAAGACGACAGACAACCAAGGAGAAGUCAGUAAGGCACAGAGUACUUGAGACGGCUAAGAGUGAUUUGGAGAAAAACAACCUAGAAGUCAGAGGGAUGCUUUUGGUUUUCAAUGUGUUUGUCAGAGAAGGCUGUACCUUUGAACAUUUCCAUAAAGGAGAUGAGUUGGGGGCAAGCAAAUGAUACAUUUCUGCUGACAGCUUUCAGUAACCCAACAACAGUGGAACAAGAGACAGCGUUAUGGUAGACGAAACUGGCAAAGGGAGGAAGCAGACGCUGAGGACUGUUGAGGCGUUUUGGACUAUCACAGGAGAGAAGCCAAGUUUCAAGUGGUGGAGUGGUGUGUUCCAAGUUCCUUUCUGAAGGAUCACUAUAGUGGUUUGCAAAGAGGAAGGACGGCUUUGGGUAUCAAACGGGAUGUAGAGAGAAGCCUCCAGUAAUUCAGGCAAACAAGAACUUACGGGCUAGGUCCCUUUCAGUAGACCUGGAAUCCGCCUGCAUCCCUCGCUCUACUCGAACAGCACAUGCUCAGACAGGGAACCGACCCCAAGAUAAGGCUUGAGAUAUACUGGGUACCAUCAGAUGACCAUGCUUCCACAGAACCACCAAGCCAGGGCAAAUUUCAGGAAUAACUUCAGGAGUUGCAGAGUAAAGCUGAUGGAAAAGGGCCUCUUCAUGGACUAUUCUAGAACAAACCAGGAAAAGGGAACACAGGAAAGAAUGAACGGUAUGGAUCAUACCUGAUCCAGGUGAUUUGGAUGUACAGUUACAUGGACUCCAGGAGUCUUUUCUCAAGAGAAAAAGGAUCACUCUUGGGGUAGAAUUGCCUCACCUGAAGUGGGGGAGGGGAGGUUGAAGGUAUUUCUUCUCUUCUCCGAGUCAAGAACUGAUGACCUAGACAAACACCUUGACCAAAACAGGUCACUUGGUACUUUAAAUUAUAUGAUUUAUACAAACUCUUACAAGACUUGCAGCUGUUCUUUUGGGUGCUUUUGGAAGUGGUUUCUUCACCCACUCACCUCCAAAAGGGGGUCCUUAAAAUGUAGCAAAAUGAGGUAUAGGGAUUGAGACAAAGACCAAAGAGCCAUUUUAGAGAGGAUAACCUCAGGAUGAUUGAGGAAAACAAAUGGAGUUAAUGUCAAAAUUCUGUAAACUCAGAUGUUUACAAAGAGAGCUAAAUGAAUAGAAUAAUAGAGACAAAAAAGAACUCUGCAUUACCACAAUGCUUCCAAAUUAUUUCUUUUUACCUUGAGGCUAUCCAAUUUUUUUUUUCUACUCCCUUGCUUCUGAGUUUACUGGUAGAUGUGAGCCAAUUCUCACACGAUUGUCUUAUUAAAACGAUUCCUCUCACAGCACAAUUGGGGGGAAAUUAAUCAAAGAACCCAGUUCUUCAAUCCAAGCUGUCACAUAACCCACAAAGCCUACAAAUGGGAAUUUCCAUUCAAGUAGUUGCAAAACAGUCUUUAAUACUUCAUAUUGUCUAUUGAUGGUCAGCUUCUUUCUUCAGUCAAACAGAACAAUCUUGUUUUCUCUAAUGAAAAGAAAAUUAAGUUAUAUCUUAAAAGAAGGGGUUUAUUGUUUGUCUUUAGACAAUAGACACUAGAUACCGCAGUGUAAUGAAAUAAAUGCAAGGAGGAAGGCGAAUUUCUCAAGCUUUUCUCACACAGCUCUACUUUAGCUGGAUAUUCCCCCGAAAGCCUGUCCCUUUGCAGAAGAGAGUUCUUUAGCCCUACAUAUGCUACUCUGUCUAAGAGAUGUACAGUGCCCAUAAAAUAGCCAAGCUCUCAGAAUCCUGAAGUAAAGAAAGCCAUUUAAUCUCCGUUAACCCAAUAUUUCCAAAAUUUAUGAGUCUACAAAGCUUUUCAAAUGCAGUUUCUACCAUAACUCUGUGGAGUUAGUGAUAUGGAAUAUGCCUGGGGCGUACUCCUAUACAGACACUGCAAGCAUGUCCUCAUGCACUCAAAGUCAAGCCCCUGAGAAAUGGAAUCACUUAGAGGUAAUCAAAGCUUUUGGUAGAAAAACAUAACUUUGAUGCUAAGAGCAUGGAAGAAAGAAAUUAUAUAGGCUGGGAACCAUGUACCACAGCUCUUAGAGAGAGUGGAGAUUAUAAAGAAUUGAAAAGAAAUCAAGAAACAGGAAACAAAAGUCUAAUAACUAAAUCUACUAGGCCAUAGAUUAACUUAAUGUUUCGAUGGUACUAGACAAAAUUUUCUAGGCUAUAGAGUAUUAAGACAAUAAUAAUUUUUACUAAACCUAUGGUACCUGGUACUUUGUAUCACUGCUGCCCAUGUGUUUUUAGAAAUCUCCACUUCUCUGGGAUUCUAGUGGAGAGAGUAGACAGGCUCACAAAGCUUCCUGAACAUCGAAUUUCUCUUACAAAACAAUAGUUUGUCGAAUUACAUGCCAACUAAACAGAUGGAUUACAUUUCCCUCUCAAUGUGCACAAAUUAAAAAAUUAAAGAGAAAAAGUACUUGGUAAAGCCAGCUUUGUAUUUUGCUGCAUCAGAAACAUUUAGGGAAAUGGUUUGAAAUGUUUGGCUAAAGCCCAGUGCCACCAAGCCCUCCUGGCUCCAGACACCAGUCCCAUUGACCGAAAAUUUCUAUUAAGCAAACAAAUGGGUGAGUGGUUUGUUGCUGAUUUCCCCACAAGUGUGGAGCAUGAAAUGUAAUAUUCCUGGAAGGAUAAACACUGUGUGCUUCAUAUUUUUACAAAGAUGGGUAGAGACAGUUACCAGGACAGUUUAGAAGUAAUAUUAACUGAGAAAUUUUCUAAAGAGAUCACCUUUAUCUGUUAAUAGAGAAAUUGAAAAUGAAGCUCAUAGCAACAACAAAAAACACUAUAGAAAUUGGUAUAGUAAGGUCUUAAUUGCCUAAAGUUCAACAACUAUG